rnacentral:misc_RNA from 1 species
GGUAGCGUUAAGCGUUAGCGUGGUUUUGCAACUUUCAGCUUUCCCCUUCAACUUCUUCCCCUUCCAUUUUCUCUACUUUCAGCGAUCCAGCCCUUGGAUUUGUGGCAAACCUUGCCAGAAACGGAUAGUCACACCCAGAUAUGAGCAGAAAUUUGAGUUGCAGAUCGUCUGAUUUCGUGUUGUUUUCGGCUUCGCUUUCCCUACUUUUCGUCUCCGCCCUUUCUGAUGAUUCCAGUAACAAAGCUAGUAUUAAAUCUGGGAAUCAUCCAUCCUCCAGCAGCAACACUGGCG